CCCUAAUCCCCUAAAUGGGCAAACGGCAGUAACCCUCCUUCAAGUCUUUCUCACCUCAUCUGCUCAUCACACCGUAGUUGAAGAAAACCUCACCUCACAUCAACUCACUGCUGGCCUGUCGUCUUCUUCAUCUCGCCGGAGAUGGUGCGCCUCCAAUGACAUCUCAACCUCACCUCACUGUCGCGUUUUGGGUCGCAAGCCGUCCCCUUCGUCGCGGCUCCUUGUUCCGCGGCUCCACGUCGUCGUCGUCGUCGCCGUCAUCGUGUCCUCUCCAUCCUCUGCGUCCUCUCUCAGACUAUCGGACAGUUCUUCACUAGAGGCAAGGGCAACAAAGAAGUGGUACAUAAUUUUACCUUCAUUGGAAGUCCGAAUUCAAUUUUGUGGCUACUUCUUACACUCUGAAUUUGCGUGGCAAUUUAUCUUCUUCUCAUGAUUUUACUUGAUAAAGUUUCUGUGGUUGCUUGUUACAUUUAAUUCUACAAAAACUUAAUGAGAAAUUAUUUAUCCUUCUAAUUUAUAAACAAAGAAACUAACGAGUGCUUUUUAUGUUCUCACUAUUUAGAAAUCAGGAGAAUAUUUAGGAAGAUGUUCAGGAAGAUAUAUCAUUACUGAAUUGUAAUUGGCAUGGUUUCUAAGUUUGGGUUCUCUUGCUUCAAUUCAUGAAAUUACCAACCUAGUUUAUGAGGUUCCGAAUUUCAGUUAGAUAUGCUAAAUGUGACUGGCAUGAUUAGGCUAAAUGCAUAUUCUAGCAUUCAUUUAUCAUUCACAAAUUUUAUUUUCGGAUUUUCUGUGCAUCAUAUCACAAAUUUUAAGGUGUCUACUUUUUAAAUGACUUUUAAGCAGUGACAUUGAUAUUGAACAUGUUUUUAGUGAAAACAUUUUUUAGGGUUGUAACUUAGCACAAUUAUUUUUUUUAAACAAAUUAAGUUUUACAUUUUUAUAGAGACUUAAGGUGCUUAGCUGAGACGGAUUAACCACACAAUGACACUUCUUAAGAUUCUGAUGCUAUAUCACAUGGAGGCCAACUUCGAACAUAGAAUAGAACUUAUGGACUUCUUCUUCAACAAUAUCUUGAUCUCUGUCUUUGUAGAAAGAUGAUCAUCCGAGACACGUAUAUUUCACUUACCAUGGGAUGUAUUAUCAUAUUCCAAGACGGGGUUGAACACUUAGAGUUGUGUAUAGAUGGAGAUUCGGUAGGUACAUGCAUGAGAAAUUUUCAGAGGUACCAUCAACAUUUGACCUAAAAUUGGGUACAGAAACUACUCAGAGAUAGGCCAACCGAGCUGGCUCAGGUCAAAAAGGACAUAUUUGCCAUCAAUAUGACAUGACUUUGAAGAGAAUGUAGUAUAUUCUUGUUGAUGUUGAUCCUCAGACAUGGCGCAGUUUAUCUAGUGCUAUAUGAUGAUGCUCAUCAAGGGUAUUUGAUGAUGGACAUGUCGAACAACUUUGUCCAUAUUCGAUGGUUUCCCUUACUAGUGAACAUCACAAUUGCAAGGUUGUCCUAGAAGUCGGCAGUGUUGGCGUGGACUUAUAGAUCCCUUAGUAGUGCGACUGAUCGGGAUACUACAGACAUUGUCGGAUGCCUCCUCUAAUUGUUAAUUAGAUAUAACAUAGGUAAACAAUUAGAUAUAACAUAGGUUUCCUACUAAGGGACCUAAAGAUAGAGGUGUCUCGACAUUUCACUUGGUUGUUAGGUGAUAUGUGAGUAUCUUUCUUAUCUUUUCCUAAUGAAGUUGCAUUUGAAUUUGUUAAGUUUAA